CCUACGGGUGGCUGCAGCGACGAAUCUUCCGCAAUGGGCGAAAGCCUGACGGAGCGACGCCGCGUGUGGGAUGAAGCGCUUUGCCGUGUAAACCACUGUCAGGGAAUAGAUCAUUUCCAAAGGAAGGGGCGACUAACUCUGUGCCAGCAGUCGCGGUAAUACAGAGGCCCCGAGCGUUAGUCGGAAUUACUGGGCUUAAAGGGUGCGUAGGCGGAUUUCUAAGUGUCGCGUGAAAGCCCACGGCUUAACCGUGGAACCGCGCGGCAAACUGGGAGUCUUGAGGAAUGUAUAGGCGGGUGGAACGAUAGGUGGAGCGGUGGAAUGCGUAGAUAUCUAUCGGAACGCCGAAGGUGAAGACAGCCCGCUGGGCAUUCUGACGCUGAGGCACGAAAGCGUGGGUAGCAAACAGGAUUAGAUACCCUUGUAGUC
rnacentral:rRNA from 1 species